UUUUGACCACAGGGCGAUGCACGAAGAUGCACAAGAACCAGAGGGGGAUUCAAUGGAGCCUGAAUACCUGCACUGAGACCCUCACCCUGCACCUUGAGUCUCAACUCUGUGUUUUUCAAGCCUUUCCCUGUUAUUUGUAUUAAACCAAACAUUAAGCUUCCCAA